rnacentral:rRNA from 1 species
GACGAACGCUGGCGGUAUGCUUAACACAUGCAAGUCGAACGAGAAGUCUUUUAUUGAACCUUCGGGGGAUAUAAGAGACAGACAGUGGCGAACGGGUGAGUAACGCGUGGGCAACCUACCUAUCGGAGCGGGAUAGCCUCGAGAAAUCGGGAGUAAAACCGCAUAACGCGGAUAUAUCGCAUGAUGAAUCCGUCAAAACUCCGGUGCCGAUAGAUGGGCCCGCGUCUGAUUAGCUAGUUGGUAAGGUAAGGGCUUACCAAGGCAACGAUCAGUAGCCGGUCUGAGAGGGCGAACGGCCACACUGGAACUGAGACACGGUCCAGACUCCUACGGGAGGCAGCAGUGGGGAAUAUUGCGCAAUGGGGGCAACCCUGACGCAGCAAUACCGCGUGAGUGAAGAAGGUUUUCGGAUCGUAAAGCUCUGUUAUUGGGGAAGAAGCAGUGACGGUACCCAAUGAGGAAGUCCCGGCUAACUACGUGCCAGCAGCCGCGGUAAUACGUAGGGGACGAGCGUUGUCCGGAAUCACUGGGCGUAAAGGGCGCGUAGGCGGUUUUAUAAGUCAGAUGUGAAAGGUACCGGCUCAACCGGUGACGUGCAUUUGAAACUGUAAGACUUGAGUACUGAAGAGGCAAGCGGAAUUCCUAGUGUAGCGGUGAAAUGCGUAGAUAUUAGGAAGAACACCGGUGGCGAAGGCGGCUUGCUGGGCAGAUACUGACGCUGAGGUGCGAAAGCGUGGGGAGCGAACAGG